GGGGAGCAGAAGGCCGCGGGCGGGCGGCUGGCGCGCUGUGUACUUAGGUCGUGUGCUGGGGCUUUUCUCUCCCAGGAGCCGGCGGGGGGAGGGGAGGGGGAGGGGCCACCGCUCCGCCUUCUCCUUUUCGCAAUGUUGACGCAAUCUAUAAAUAGUGGAACAAAAGGACCAACUUCCUCGGAGCUUUGCUGAAACUGCACAAAAAAUCGAGCCGGGGGGUUCCCUGGUCCCCGGCGAUGGGGCGGGGAGCGCUGCGCCGGGGGAGGGGGCGGGCGCGGCGGCGCGGGCCCCGCCGAGGGGGGACACCUGGCUGAGGCACAGCUGCCGCCGUGCCUUUCCGCGCGAGCCCAGAGCUCCGAUCCCUGCGCGGGCUCGAGAGCUCGCCCCGAACGGGGGUCUUCCUCCUCCGCCGUUGACAGGUUUUGACCUGUAGCAGAGAACCAAUUCUGGAGAACAGCCUCACUUCUUUGAUUGAAUACUUACAUAAUGCAUUGGAACAUGACAUGAGAUUAAGGUUUAAUAAUGAUAGAAUGAAGACCACAAUAAAAGAGACCUCUACUUAGCUCAGCAAUUCUUACCUUUCUUACCUAUUUGAUGAAGAUGUCUUUUGAAAGGUGUACUGCAAGGAACAAAAUGUUUGUAAAUUCUCCUUUUACCAAGGUGGAUAAUUACUGUACCUUCCUCAUGGAAAAAGUUUUAUUUAAAGUGUUAUUUCUCAUUGAAUACUAUCAAAAAGGAAAAAAAAAUGACCUAAACUUUUGAGAUAGAUUUGGCUCUAGGCCUACUCUAGGUGCGGUACUUCACUAUAGUUUAUAAAAGAUGGUCCCUGUCAGCAAAGAACUGUAACCUGUAUGAGAAUAUUAUACUAACAUACAAGAAACAAGUAGAGAAUAAUGGAAUGUAAACUCUGGCUUGCUAACUUAAGUGUGGUAGAAGCUUGAAGGAAAUGUGGACUUAAACUUAUCAGAGAAGACUUAUAAGAGGAUAUGAAAGGUGUAAAUUUUGAUACCACCAUUGCCGCCUUCCCCUCAAAAAAGGUGAGAACUGACUAAACUACUGGUACUUAGACCAUGUGGAGAAGGAACUGAAAAUGGAAACAGAAACACGUCUGUACAGAGCAGAGUGUCAGAUAAUAGCUCAUUUUAGUAGAGGGCAAUAAAUGCCACAUGAGAUGAUCACCUCAGCAGAAAACUGUAAGUAACUGGGGACUUACAGGAGAAUUGAACAGUUGUUUCUGCUGACUCAGUAAAAAGUCUUCAUUUUAUAA
ensembl:lncRNA DLEU2 deleted in lymphocytic leukemia 2